rnacentral:lncRNA from 1 species
UGAAAGCGAUCAUUUCUGACAGGCGUUCACUGAUUUAACAAAAUCAGAAACAUUGUAUUAGGAAUCAUUGAAAAUGCUAAUUCUUCCUAGCAAAACUGAUUAUUAGUUAUGGUUGGCUGUUAGCCCACUCUUAAAAUGUCUUGCUCAGUUAUGGAAACUCGGGAUCAGCAUUUCUGAUUCGAUUGAAGCAUCUUUGCAAAUGGUGAUCUUCCAUGCAGCUGGUUUCCAAGGUGAAACAGUCAUAACAGAGGCAAGGCCAAUGAAGGAGAUGUACACACCCCAUGCAAAGGUACUAAAACAAGUUAACCUUAUUUUCUCACAUACUGUAGCUUUGUGGCAGUUAUCAUAAGUUUGACUUAAAAUCUUUUGGGUUUGUUUACACUUCUU